rnacentral:rRNA from 1 species
CCUACGGGGGGCUGCAGUUGGGAAUCUUGCACAAUGGGGGAAACCCUGAUGCAGCGACGCCGCGUGGAGGAAGAAGGGUCUAGGCUCGUAAACUCCUUUUUCAGGGAAAGACUUAGGACGGUACCCUGAGAAUAAGCUCCGGCUAACUACGUGCCAGCAGCCGCGGUAAGACGUAGGGAGCGAGCGUUGUCCGGAUUUACUGGGCGUAAAGAGCACGUAGGCGGUCUGUUAAGGGAGAAGUGAAAUCUCCAGCGCUAAACGCGGAAACGGCUUUUAAUACUGGAGGACUUGAGGGAUGCAGAGGCAAGUAGAAUUCCUGGUGUACCGGUGAAAUGGGUUGAUAUCAGGAGGAAUACCAAUGGCGAAGGCAGCUUGCUGGGCAUCAUCUGACGCUGAGGUGCGAAAGCGUGGGGAGCAAACAGGAUUAGAUACCCCGGUAGUC